rnacentral:misc_RNA from 1 species
CCCCGCAGUAAACCUUUCCUAAGAUCGAUGUAUGCCUCAAAAGCUGUCAUGCAUCUCUCUUCAGCGCGAAAAAAACGACUAUAUCACGUCUCACUUUCUCGCUAUCGCUCCUAACGAAAAGUCGGAAUUCGAUUGUUCCCAUCACUAGCAGCCGUCUACGUGGGGUAGACAGGGUAGACAGUUGUCACGGUCCACCCUGGCGUUUUGUUUAUGUUUGUUUUUGUUCGUGUAAUAAUGUGUUUGGGGGCAUUUGCAAGCCCCAGUGCAGUGUAGUGACCAUCCAUAGGCUAAUCAGUAGCGCGCCGCCAUGCUAGCAGGCGCCACCCUGCUGUGGAUGCUCCUUAGUGCGGCUAGGGGGGAACGUUACGGCAGCACCCGCGUGAGCGACACUGACGAUAGUGUUCCAACGCACGGCAAAUGCCAGCCCAUCACUGUACCCACCUGCCUCAACAUCCCUUACAACCAGACCAUAAUGCCCAACUUGGUGGGUCACAGCUCGCAAGACGAGGCUGGUCUGGAGAUGAACCAGUACAUGUCGCUUAUUAAGGUGGCCUGUAGCCCCGAUAUACAGUUUUUUCUGUGUUCAGUGUACGCGCCAGUUUGCACUAUCUUGGACCACCCCAUUCCUCCCUGUCGCUCGCUGUGCCUUUCUGCGAAAAACGGUUGUGAGCAAAUCAUGAAAAGAUUCGGAUACUCCUGGCCGGAGGUUUUGCGCUGCGAAAACUUUCCAGAGACGUCGGACGAUCUUUGCGUCGGCGAGGACAAGCAAGUGUCCGUCAACCAGCAGUCUAGUGGGGCUGACAAAAAGAACCGUAUUCUGGAUCAAUUCGAACCGCCGGCCAACGGGAAGAACUUUGGCUUCGUGUGCCCGGAACAGUUCAAGGUGCCUGCCGUGCUGGAGUACAGCUUUAAGGUGGGUGACAAAGUGGAGAAGAACUGCGGCGCUCCCUGCGACCUGAUGUUCUUCACUGAACACAAACGCCAGUUCUCCAAGUUGUGGAUCGGCAUCUGGGCCAUACUGUGCUCCAUCAGCUGCCUGUUCACCAUCUGCACUUUCCUGAUCGACACCGAUCGCUUUCGCUACCCAGAGCGCCCCAUCAUUUUCCUGUCGGUCUGUUACUUUAUGGUGGCUGGCGCCUACUUGGUGGGCUUUUUAGCGAACGAUACAAUCGCCUGCCGCGAACCCUUUGCUUCCAAGUACGGCAACGUUACGUUGAGUACCAUCACGCAGGGCACCAAGCACGAGUCCUGCACCAUCCUCUUCAUGGUUCUCUACUUCUUCAGCAUGGCGUCCAGCAUUUGGUGGGUGAUUUUGACGCUCACUUGGUUUCUAGCGGCGGGACUCAAGUGGGGGCAUGAAGCCAUCGAGGCCAACUCUCAGUACUUCCAUUUGGUCGCCUGGGCGAUUCCUGGGAUCAAAACCAUUGCCAUUUUGGCUUUGGGAAAAGUUGAUGGCGAUGUGUUGAGCGGCGUUUGUUACGUGGGCAUCUGGAACGUGGAUACUAUGCGGAUUUUCGUUCUGCUGCCGCUGGUCAUCUACCUGAUCUUUGGCACGGUGUUUUUGAUGAGCGGGUUCGUGUCUCUGUUCCGGAUCCGCACUGUAAUGAAGCACGAAGGCACCAAAACUGAGAAGCUGGAAAAGCUGAUGAUCCGCAUCGGAAUCUUCUCUGUGCUCUACACGCUGCCUGCGCUCAUAGUGAUCGGGUGCCUAUUCUACGAAAACUCGUACUAUGAUGACUGGAUGCGCACCUGGUGGACGGACAUUUGCCACAACCCAAAGUACUCGGUCCCUUGCCCGAUCUCAAGGACUAAGCCAACCAAACACUACCCGUACUUUGAGGCCUUCAUGGUUAAGUACCUGAUGACUAUGAUUGUGGGGAUCACGUCCAGUGUGUGGAUUUGGUCGGGAUUUGGCAAAACCGUGCACAGCUGGCGUGUUUUCUUCAAUGGACUGAAACGGCGCCGGGUGGAGGCCUACGUGUGAGCGGCCGCAGAAAUCUGCAUGGUAUCGGUAGAUCGGCAGGUUCCUUGACAAAUCGGUAGAUCUACCGAAAAAUCGGUGGACCUGGCAUCUCUGGGUUUACGCGAAAUGAAAAUUUCCGACGACACGUUGCGCGUGCUGUUCCGAUAUGGGAAAACUGCAGGCAACGUCGCAUGUGCUAAAGGAACUGACAGCCAAACUGUUACAUAACCUCAAUCAUCAGGAAGAGGCAGUGGGACCCCAAAGUGUGUGUUUAGUGCAUAAACCGGAUUUACCAUACAAUUCUAGAUGCGAGGCCGCAAUUGUUUUUUCCGGGCGCUUGUGGACCCGGAAAAUGCAGCGGCGAAACGGCCUGCCGGACUUUCGACAAUAACACCUACACGUGCGUGUGUACGCACACCUCUUUGCCGCCCACCCUCAGCGGAGACUGUCCCAGAAGAAUCGUCACCCAGGACCAGAUCGUGCAGCAGAAGAUCCCGGUGCAGCCGCCCAAAGAGCCAGACGCCGGCCUCAACCAAACGACAAUCCUGACG